UCGAGAAUCUUCGGCAAUGCGCGAAAGCGUGACCGAGCGACGCCGCGUGAUGGAUGAAGGCCUUCGGGUCGUAAACAUCUUUUCUAUGGGAAGAAUUUUGACGGUACCAUAGGAAUAAGGGGUUCCUAACUCUGUGCCAGCAGGAGCGGUAAUACAGAGACCCCAACCGUUAUCCGGAUUUAUUGGGCGUAAAGCGUCCGCAGCCGGCGUGGAAAGUGGUUUGUUAAAUCCAGAAGCUCAACUUCUGGGCUGCAGUCCAAACUUCCAUGCUAGAGAAAUGAAGAGGCAUAUGGAACUCAUGGUGGAGCAGUGAAAUGCGUUGAUAUCAUGGGGAACACCAAUGGCGAAGGCAGUAUGCUGGUCAUUUUCUGACGGUCAGGGACGAAAGCGUGGGGAGCGAACGGG
rnacentral:rRNA from 1 species